CCCUGGUUAGCUCAGUUGGUAGAGCGCUCCACCUGUAAUGGAGAGAGUUCCUGUGUUCGAUACCCCGACCAGGCG
rnacentral:tRNA from 1 species